CUACGGGUCGCUGCAGUGGGGAAUAUUGCACAAUGGGCGCAAGCCUGAUGCAGCCAUGCCGCGUGUAUGAAGAAGGCCUUCGGGUUGUAAAGUACUUUCAGCGGGGAGGAAGGGAGUAAAGUUAAUACCUUUGCUCAUUGACGUUACCCGCAGGAGAAGCACCGGCUAACUCCGUGCCAGCAGCCGCGGUAAUACGGAGGGUGCAAGCGUUAAUCGGAAUUACUGGGCGUAAAGCGCACGCAGGCGGUUUGUUAAGUCAGAUGUGAAAUCCCCGGGCUCAACCUGGGAACUGCAUCUGAUACUGGCAAGCUUGAGUCUCGUAGAGGGGGGUAGAAUUCCAGGUGUAGCGGUGAAAUGCGUAGAGAUCUGGAGGAAUACCGGUGGCGAAGGCGGCCCCCUGGACGAGGACUGACGCUCAGGUGCGAAAGCGUGGGGAGCAAACAGGAUUAGAUACCCUAGUAGUC
rnacentral:rRNA from 1 species